GACGAACGCUGGCGGCGUGCCUAAUACAUGCAAGUCGAGCGAAGUUUUUCUGGUACUUGCACUAGAAAAACUUAGCGGCGAACGGGUGAGUAACACGUAAAGAACCUGCCUCAUAGACUGGGACAACUAUUGGAAACGAUAGCUAAUACCGGAUAACAGCAUUAACUGCAUGGUUGAUGUUUAAAAGUUGGUUUUGCUAACACUAUGAGAUGGCUUUGCGGUGCAUUAGCUAGUUGGUGGGGUAAAGGCCUACCAAGGCGACGAUGCAUAGCCGACCUGAGAGGGUGAUCGGCCACACUGGGACUGAGACACGGCCCAGACUCCUACGGGAGGCAGCAGUAGGGAAUCUUCCGCAAUGGGCGAAAGCCUGACGGAGCAACGCCGCGUGAGUGAAGAAGGAUUUCGGUUCGUAAAGCUCUGUUGUUAGGGAAGAAUGAUUGUGUAGUAACUAUACACAGUAGAGACGGUACCUAACCAGAAAGCCACGGCUAACUACGUG
rnacentral:rRNA from 1 species